UACGUAGGGUGCAAGCGUUGUCCGGAGUUAUUGGGCGUAAAGAGCUCGUAGGCGGUUUGUCGCGUCUGCUGUGAAAGUUCGGGGCUCAACCCCGGAACUGCAGUGGGUACGGGCAGACUAGAGUGCGGUAGAGGAGACUGGAAUUCCUGGUGUAGCGGUGGAAUGCGCAGAUAUCGGGAGGAACUCCAGUGGCGAAGGCGGGUCUCUGGGCCGCAACUGACGCUGAGGAGCGAAAGCGUGGGGAGCGAACAGG
rnacentral:rRNA from 1 species